rnacentral:rRNA from 1 species
CCUACGGGUGGCAGCAGUGGGGAAUAUUUGGCAAUGGGCGCAAGCCUGACCCAGCAACGCCGCGUGAAGGAAGAAGGCUUUCGGGUUGUAAACUUCUUUUAAGAGGGAAGAGCAGAAGACGGUACCUCUUGAAUAAGCCACGGCUAACUACGUGCCAGCAGCCGCGGUAAUACGUAGGUGGCAAGCGUUGUCCGGGUAUACUGGGUGGAAAGGGCGGGUAGCCGGGCUGACAAGUCAGAUGUGAAAUCCCGGGGCGCAACCACCGAACUGCAUUUGAAACUGUCGGUCUUGAGUAUCGGAGAGGGAGGCGGAAUUCUUAGUGUAGCGGUGAAAUGCGUAGAUAUUAGGAGGAACACCAGUGGCGAAGGCGGGCUGCUGGACGACAACUGACGGUGAGGCGCGAAAGCGUGGGGAGCAAACAGGAUUAGAUACCCUGGUAGUC